rnacentral:lncRNA from 1 species
CCGCUUGUACAGGAUGUUGUCUCAAAGCUUCUUCCUGCAGGAUCCUGGCUCCCUCUCGCAAUGCAUCUCCAUCGCCACGACUGAAUCCCUGCCCAAUAUUUCAAGAAGGCACAGGCACAACAUAUCAACUCCUCAGGUGAUCUAAUAAGACGGUGUUCGAAGCAAGCCAUAUUCCGUAGUUUCCAAAUUGCCCAACAUAUCGCUGCUAGCCCUUAGGUGGUUUGAAAUCCACAUGAAAUAUUGUGAAAAGCAAGACGGUCUAGUGCCAGCCCCAAUGGCAACUUCCACAACCCCCCAAGUAUAUUUUGCAGCAGAGCAGGUAAAGAAAAAAAAAACUCGACCUGCAAAGGGGUAAGCCAACCCCCAGGCUUUUGCAUUAAGAAGAAGACCUUCUCACGCAGGUCGAGAAACCCCCGAACCCCUGCCCCA